rnacentral:rRNA from 1 species
UACGAAGGGGGCUAGCGUUGCUCAGAAUCACUGGGCGUAAAGGGUGCGUAGGCGGGUCUUUAAGUCAGGGGUGAAAUCCUGGAGCUCAACUCCAGAACUGCCUUUGAUACUGAAGAUCUUGAGUUCGGGAGAGGUGAGUGGAACUGCGAGUGUAGAGGUGAAAUUCGUAGAUAUUCGCAAGAACACCAGUGGCGAAGGCGGCUCACUGGCCCGAUACUGACGCUCAUGUGCGAAAGCGUGGGGAGCAAACAGG